GUGGGGAAUUUUGGACAAUGGGCGCAAGCCUGAUCCAGCAAUGCCGCGUGCAGGAAGAAGGCCUUCGGGUUGUAAACUGCUUUUGUACGGAACGAAACGGUCCUGGUUAAUACCCGGGGCUAAUGACGGUACCGUAAGAAUAAGCACCGGCUAACUACGUGCCAGCAGCCGCGGUAAUACGUAGGGUGCACGCGUUAAUCGGAAUUACUGGGCGUAAAGCGUGCGCAGGCGGUUUUGUAAGACAGUGGUGAAAUCCCCGGGCUCAACCUGGGAACUGCCAUUGUGACUGCAAGGCUAGAGUGCGGCAGAGGGGGAUGGAAUUCCGCGUGUAGCAGUGAAAUGCGUAGAUAUGCGGAGGAACACCGAUGGCGAAGGCAAUCCCCUGGGCCUGCACUGACGCUCAUGCACGAAAGCGUGGGGAGCAAACAGGAUUAGAAACCCUGGUAGUCC
rnacentral:rRNA from 1 species